rnacentral:rRNA from 1 species
GACAGAGGGUGCAAACGUUGUUCGGAAUUACUGGGCGUAAAGCGCGUGUAGGCGGCUUGGCAAGUCGGGUGUGAAAGCCCCGGGCUCAACCUGGGAAGUGCACUCGAAACUGCUUGGCUUGAGUACUGGAGAGGGAAGCGGAAUUCUCGGUGUAGAGGUGAAAUUCGUAGAUAUCGAGAGGAACACCGGUGGCGAAGGCGGCUUACCUGGACAGUUACUGACGCUGAGACGCGAAAGCGUGGGGAGCAAACAGG